AGCGAACGCUGGCGGCAGGCUUAACACAUGCAAGUCGAACGCCCCGCAAGGGGAGUGGCAGACGGGUGAGUAACACGUGGGAACGUACCCUUUGGUUCGGAAUAACUUGGGGAAACUCAAGCUAAUACCGGAUAAGCCCGUAUGGGGAAAGGUUUACUGCCGAAGGAUCGGCCCGCGUCUGAUUAGCUAGUUGGUAGGGUAAUGGCGCACCAAGGCGACGAUCAGUAGCUGGUCUGAGAGGAUGAUCAGCCACACUGGGACUGAGACACGGCCCAGACUCCUACGGGAGGCAGCAGUGGGGAAUAUUGGACGAUGGGGGCAACCCUGAUCCAGCCAUGCCGCGUGAGUGAUGAAGGCCUUAGGGUUGUAAAGCUCUUUUACCCGGGACGAUAAUGACUGUACCGGGAGAAUAAGCCCCGGCUAACUUCGUGCCAGCAGCCGCCGUAA
rnacentral:rRNA from 1 species